rnacentral:tRNA from 1 species
ACUUUUAAAGGAUGGCAGUUAUCCAUUGACCUUAGGAGUCAAAAACAUUGGUGCAACUCCAAAUAAAAGUA